UCCAGACUCCUACGGGAGGCAGCAGUGGGGAAUAUUGGGCAAUGGGCGAAAGCCUGACCCAGCGACGCCGCGUGAGGGAAGAAGGUCUUCGGAUUGUAAACCUCUUUCAGCAGGGCAGAAGAAAGUGACGGUACCUGCAGAAGAAGUCACGGCUAACUACGUGCCAGCAGCCGCGUUAAUACGUAGGUGGCGAGCGUUAUCCGGAAUUACUGGGGUUAAGAGUGUGUAGGCGGGGGUGCAAGUCAGGAGGGAAAACUAUGGGGUCAACCCAUAACGUGCGUUUGAAACUGUGCUGCUUGGGAGUGGGAGAGGGAAACGGAAUUCCUGGUGUAGUAGUGAAAUGCGUAGAUAUCAGGAGGAACACCGGUGGCGAAGGCGGUUUACUGGACCACAACUGACGCUGAGACACGAAAGCGUGGGG
rnacentral:rRNA from 1 species